GACGAACGCUGGCGGCGUGCCUAAUACAUGCAAGUAGGACGCAGUUGCGAACGGGUGAGUAACGCGUAGGCAACUACCUAUCAGGGGGGGAUAACUAUUGGAAACGAAAGCUAACACCGCAUACUAGUAGCUGGACCUGCGUUGUAUUACCUAGUAGGUAGGGUAAUGGCCUACCUAGGCAAGGAUACAUAGCCGACGUGGGAGGGUGAUCAGCGACAAUGGGACUGAGAAACUGCCCAGACUCCUACGAGGGGCAGCAGUAGGGAAUCAUCGGAAAUGGGGGGAACCCUGACCGAGCAAUGCCGCGUGAGUGAAAAAUGUUUUCGGAUCGGAAAGCUCUGUUGAUAAGGAAGCGGUACUUAACCAGAAAGGGACGGCUAACUACGUGCCAGCAGCCGCGGUAAUAC
rnacentral:rRNA from 1 species